UACGGAGGGUGCGAGCGUUGUCCGGAAUCACUGGGCGUAAAGGGCGCGUAGGCGGCCUGAUAAGUAGGGGGUGAAAUCCUGCGGCUUAACCGCAGGGCUGCCUUCUAAACUGUCAGGCUAGAGCACAGUAGAGGCAGGUGGAAUUCCCGGUGUAGCGGUGGAAUGCGUAGAGAUCGGGAAGAACAUCAGUGGCGAAAGCGCUCUACUGGGCCUGCACUGACACUGAGGGACGAAAGCUAGGGGAGCGAAAGGG
rnacentral:rRNA from 1 species